rnacentral:rRNA from 1 species
GCCCUUGAAAUAAUCAAAGGUGCAACCUGCCCAAUGGUUUAUAAGUAAAAUAAAUAAUAAUAUUUAAAGUAAACUUAAAGGACGCGGUAUCUUGACUGUGAUAAUGUAGCAUAAUCACUCGCCAUUUAAUUGAUGGAUAGUAUGAAUGGUUAAACGAAUAUAACACUGUCUCAAAUAAAGACCUUAUGAAAUUAAAAUAAUAGUAAAGAUGCUAUUUAAAACUGUAAGACGAGAAGACCCUAUAGAGCUUAACUAUAACUCUUUAAAAUAUUAUUAAAUUGAUUUAAUGUUAUAAAGAGAUAGGUAGUUUAGUUGGGGCGACUACUUUCUAUAUACAACGAAAGCAAACAAAAAUUAAUUAAUUAAUUUACUGUAUAACUUAUAAGUUUAACAGUUAUAAAAAUAGGUAAUAAUGACCCGUUAUAAAUUAAAAUAAAUUAUAACGAUCAAUAAAUAAAAGCUACCUUAGGGAUAACAGGAUAAUCUUGUUUUAGAGAUCUUAUCGAAAACAAGGUUUGUCACCUCUAUGUUGAAUUAAGAUAUCCUAAAAAUGUAGAAGUUUUUAAGGGUAGGUCUGUUCGACCUAUAAAAUCUU